CUUCACCUUCAGAGGAUGAAUUGCCAAUAAACUGGUGGUAAAUGAAGGAACUUAAUGGAGGUUUGAGUUCCAGUCCUUGCUGACAGCACAGCUGACCCUUCCUCUCUGGGACUGUGUGUGUAACGUGCACAGAAAAUCACCAGUAGAGGGAGAUGCAACUUUGGGAAUAGAAUGUCCCAUACUGAAACAGCUGCAGGCGAGAACCAGGCCAGGGGUCCUGUCUGCUGGUGGGUGCUGUGCAGAGAUGCUCCAGGCUGACCACAUGAACCAAUGUGUCACCUUGUCACAAGUCUCUGUGACUGAAAUGGACCAGUGAUCUCACCCACUGCCUUUUAAAUUUUGGAAAGAUGGCAGCCUGUGUUUGUGGAACCAUGCUGACUCAGCCAGAAUUUCCACGUGGAGGAAGGUGUGAUGGGAGAGGAGAGGAGCAACCUUCACUGAAUGAGACAAGGACUGGAACAGGGGCUGUGAAAGGUGGGUCAGAACACUAGGAGGCUGCAGGAAGCCGAGCUCGGAGGAUUCCAAGCCUUUCUGGAUGCUUCCCAGGACUGCUAUAGGAAAUGAGGCUUUUGGGUGGCCCUGUAGUGAGUACAAGUCGUUUUCAAGUCGCAGUUCUUGCCCAUAGCUGGCUCAUUAAAGGUGUGACCUGCAGCUCAUCCUACCUAAAUUAAGCACAGCUUCUGGGAGGUGGAUCUGGGUGAGCAGGAAGGAUGUGACCUGCAGAUAGUGCCGCUAGGUCAGAGAGUUCAUGUGAACUGCACAAAAUAGGAGCUUGGCAGAAGGAGUCACUGUGAGCUGCAAUUAUAAAUGGAAAGUCUCACUUGGUGCAAACAGCAGUUCUUAAAAUUAGAUCUGGUAAUACGAAUGUGUGGGGAGAGUGCAAUUAGCACCCCAAGGCUUACAUGGAGCAGGUACAGCAAGGAAAUAGGUUAGGGAUCUCCUAAAGAGAAACCACAGGGAGGAGCAGCUUUUCUUCCUCUUUAAUUUAACUUUCAGCUGUUGAUUUAUGUGGAUUAAUAAAAGGGUGGCCAAGAUAGGAUUCAAAUGGUAAAAUUGACGAGCUUCUCCUUGAUGCUGUGAGAAGAAACCUGAUUAACUAUCAGAGCUGGUGAAUGGAGGUUUCAUAUUAGCACACACAGACAAGUGGGGCUGGCAGCACUUUGUGUUGAUGUGUUGGGAAAUGCAAGGGCAUGCUUCUGGAAGGGUUUGGGCCAACAGAAAAGUCAGAGACAGCCUUUUUGUGUGUGAGACUGAUGCCUUGUGGGCAUUCAAGCAUCAGAUGUUUGCCUGCUGCUGAGCAAGGGAGCUGUUUGUGGGGAUUUGGGAAGCUCACCUGGGCAUUGGGUUACGUAGGGGUUCUCAUGGGAAAGGGUUCAUUUGGGAUAGUAAGUAUGAAGUGCAGGAAUGAUGGCUGUGUGAUGCAGCAGAGCAGCUCGAUGCUCUGAGUGACAUAAAAGCUUAACUCUUGCUUUGGAGAUAACUGUGGUUUCCAUGCUGAGCUGUUUGCUUGGGUUCCCAGGUGGAUUCCAGCAGCCAGCGCUGCCGGGCCAGGAGGAACUGAUGUGUCUGGGAAGGAAAACAAAGCUGACACUUACACACAGCACUGGGAGAGAGGGGCCAGGAUGGAGAUUUCAUCGUGAGAAUGCCGCCCAAACCUGGGGGAAGGAGAGAGCAUGGAGUAUUGCCACCUGCCCAUGGCCUCCCCACGUCCCCUCGGCCUCCCAGCCUCACCCCCUGGCGUUGUCCAGGUGUAGGAGGAAGCCAUCAUCUCCAAACUUGGUGAACAUCUCAUAGUGGUGACGGUCCAUGUUCCCUGGUAAAGGAGGAACAGAGCAGCGGUUUCCCUUGCAAGUGCCUGAGUAAUUUUCAGACCUAUCCCGUGUUUUCUUUCCCAUCAGCAUGAAAUGCUUUAAUUGUACCUAUCAGGAAGUCAAAUAUGGCCAUGUCAACGAUGUUAAGCAGCCGGUUGCCGCUGCUGUAGGGGUAGAUCUCCCUCACAGUGUCACAGUAGAGCGGAUUCACCUCCCACCUGCAGGACACCAGGGGAGGGGGCACACAGUCCACUCACAGUCUGUAUCUCACUUAUUCUCCUUCCCACACGCUCCCUGUAAGGCACAUAUAUGAAGCAGCAGCAUUUACCCACUUACUCCUCUUUUCCAUCAAACGAGUAGGAGCGGAUCCAUGGGUUUGGGAUGGAGAGCCGAGGCGCCAGGUUGAGGGAUGGAAGGAAGGCAGACAGGGACCCUUCCAGGAGGUGAGGAUUCCCACACACUGCGUACUCUGUCUUGCACAUGUACGGGCACUUGGCAAAGAAGCACACAUUGCUGGCUGGAGGAGAACAGAGAGAACUGGGGAAAGAACUAUGGGGUGUGGAGCUUGGACUGACCCCUGCCUCACCAUGCAAUGUAUCUAGGCAAAUAAUGGACGUGAACUGCCAAACCGUGGAGGGAACCAGAGUUUUGGUCAAAAGACUCAGUCCUAUGCUGGGGGAAAGGUUAAGAAGCAGGACAAGUGAACAGAUCUCAGUCCCGUUCCUGCACAGCCCGUAAUCUUUUCCUACCUGGAGACACAAAGAAGACGCUCUGCAGGACUUCAUUCCUGGUGACUUCCAGGAUCUCCUUGGUGAUGUUGAUCAGCCUCCCAACAGUGGGGGGCACCCGUCGGAAAUCCAGGAUCCUGCCCGAGGAAAGCAGCUCAGUGACACGCAGUGGGACCUGACUGCAUGGGGUGGCAGAUGCUGCCCGUGCCCUUCCUGCUGGCAAAAUGUUUGCCUUCUUGAUGGCUGCACCCAAAUGGUGGUGAAGCCGGGAUUGCUGGAAAAGGCUCCUGGGUUAAUUGCUCAUUAGCUGUGAGCUUGAAACAAAACAAACCAGGCACCCAGAGCUCAGCUGGGUCAAUGCCCAGGAUGGACCCAGUGCAUGCAGCAAAGCUACAACCUGUGCAUCACUGCCCAGCCUGCAUGGAGCAAAGCAAAAUGAGUACUGGGCUCCCAGUGAGAAUUUUCCCCACCAUGGUGCUGCUGAGCAGUUGCUGAUCCAUGGCCAGCACUCCAUAGAGCUGAGCACAGCUCCUCUCGUACCUGUCCAGGUGGAAGGCUGCGAUCUCAGCAUUGUGCCUCUGAAAGUCCACAAAGUAGAAGAAAUCCUCGGGUGUUUCCUCCUCACGUUUCUGCCUGGAAGAAAUCCAUGGGUCAAUCCUGGGGAGUGCGUGCAGCUGCACCCAGGGGAUCCAAGGAGAGACAAAGCAGUGCUGAGGAUGUGUGGGCCCUGAGGUGACAGCAGCCCUGAGGUCCUCCAUUCUUUGGCAUCUACAGAGAAAGAGCCUUCCAAUGUCAAUAAGCAGUGUGGGAACACUGAUGUUUGCGUGUUACUGGGGAGAGAGCAAGCAGCCAGUAAUAAUUAAAGGUAGCUUUAAUAACUCAAAGUGGCUUUGCUGAGCAAAGGACAAGAGAUGCAAUGUGACGUGCCCCUCCUUGCCCGAGGAUGCCCGCAGCCUCACUGCAGCGAGCUCCAGUGCUCCCAGCUGCUCAUCGUGGGCAGUGGGGCUUUGCCUUACCUCAUGGGCUUGAACAUGGCUUUGCCGAAGUCCUGGAACCUGAGGACCAGCUUCAGGUGCACGCCGCUGGGCUUCACAACUGGGGGGGAAAGGGGACGUUAGGUGCCUGUGUGCAACAGAUCGGCACCUCUGCACCAUGCGAGUCUCCCAAAGUCCAUUUGUUAGGUCCCCUUGGGGACUUUUUCCUCCCCUCAUUGGCACAUCGGUGUCUUGGCAUCCCCACCCCAUCCUUGUGGGGCUGUGGCGUUUAUCCCUGAGCGGAGCGUGGGGCUGGAAGCUUGAGGGGAACCCAGUGCCACCCUCCCCACUUGG